rnacentral:rRNA from 1 species
CAUGCAAGUCGAACGGAAAUCUUUUAGAGAAAUCUUUUAGAUUUUAGUGGCGAACGGGUGAGUAACACGUAAGCAACCUGCCUUUAAGACGAGAAUAACAAUUGGAAACAGUUGCUAAGGCUGGAUAGGAAAUAAAAAGGCAUCUUUUUAUUUUUAAAAGACCUUCUUCGGAGGGUAUGCUUAAAGAGGGGCUUGCGUCACAUUAGUUAGUUGGUAGGGUAAUGGCCUACCAAGACGAUGAUGUGUAGCUGGACUGAGAGGUUGAACAGCCACAUUGGGACUGAGACACGGCCCAAACUCCUACGGGAGGCAGCAGUAGGGAAUUUUCGGCAAUGGAGGAAACUCUGACCGAGCAACGCCGCGUGAACGACGAAGUACUUCGGUAUGUAAAGUUCUUUUAUUGAAGAAGAAACAAUAGUGGAAAAACUAUCUUGACGUUAUUCAAUGAAUAAGCCCCGGCUAACUAUGUGCCAGCAGCCGCGGUAAUACAUAGGGGGCGAGCGUUAUCCGGAAUUAUUGGGCGUAAAGGGUGCGUAGGCGGUUUAAUAAGUCUCUAGUUUAAUUUCAACGCUUAACGUUGUCCUGCUAGAGAAACUGUUUGACUAGAGUGAGAUAGAGGUAAGCGGAAUUCCAUGUGUAGCGGUAAAAUGUGUAAAUAUAUGGAGGAACACCAGAGGCGUAGGCGGCUUACUGGGUCUUUACUGACGCUGAUGCACGAAAGCGUGGGGAGCAAACAGGAUUAGAUACCCUGGUAGUCCACGCCGUAAACUAUGAGUACUAAGUGUCGGGGUUAAACUCGGUACUGAAGUUAACACAUUAAGUACUCCGCCUGAGUAGUACGUACGCAAGUAUGAAACUUAAAGGAAUUGACGGGAUCCCGCACAAGCGGUGGAUCAUGUUGUUUAAUUCGAAGAUACACGAAAAACCUUACCAGGUCUUGACAUACUCUGCAAAACUAUAGAAAUAUAGUGGAGGUUAUCAGGGAUACAGGUGGUGCAUGGUUGUCGUCAGCUCGUGUCGUGAGAUGUUAGGUUAAGUUCUAAAACGAGCGCAACCCCUGUCGUUAAUUGCCAGCACGUUAUGGUGGGGACUUUAGCGAGACUGCCAAUGAAAAAUUGGAGGAAGGUGGGGAUUACGUCAAAUCAUCAUGCCCCUUAUGAUCUGGGCUACAAACGUGAUACAAUGGCUAUUACAAAGAGUAGCUUAAACGCGAGUUUUUGGCAAAUCUCAAAAAAAUAGUCUUAGUUCGGAUUGAAGUCUGCAACUCGACUUCAUGAAGUUGGAAUCGCUAGUAAUCGCGAAUCAGCAUGUCGCGGUGAAUACGUUCUCGGGGUUUGUACACACCGCCCGUCAAACCACGAAAGUGGACAAUACCCGAAAGCGACAGCCUAACUGCGUAAGC